UUAAAAUACAAACCGGAUUAACUCGUUCUCUAUAAACGAGUAGAAAUUAUCAUCACCUCGUGUCAAAAACAAAAUCUUUAUAAGAAUACACGACAGAUGUUAUAUAAAAUUAAUGAAAUGUAAGACUAGUAAAUGUUGUAACAAUUAUGUGGAGCGUUAUAUCGAACACCUUGUGUACCAUUGUCCAAUAGUAUCAAAUUUUCUUAGAGAGCAAUCACAUAAGAACAGAAAGAUAUACGGAAUACAUUUCGGGGGAUAGAAUCAUAGGUUUAAACACGAAGCAACUAACAGUUGCAUAAUGUUAACAUUUUCGCCUUAUUGUACAACUUGCAUGACACAAUAGCAGUGUUUGGAUGAUGUGUUAGUGGUGUUUGUUUAGACUGGCCCUUACUUAUACGUGUGAUGUGUCAUAUCGCCUAUCACAUUAGUUGUCAUGUAGUAAGCAUAUAAUAUAAAAGUACAACAUGUAAUGUAUGUAUUAAACUUAUGUUUUGAAUUAUCUACCCUUUUCUACUUUGUUCAUUAAAUGUAUCCAAAUUUAAAAAAAGAGAAAUCAGUAUGUUCGAGUUAACGAACUGUAACCGAAUUAACCGACAAAAUCGAACCACAUGCAUAACCGUUUAGGCCUGUCAAUGGAUGGAUAUGGAGUGGAUCAUGAUCCGAUCCAUUAAUGAUCCAACUUAAAUGGAUCAUGAUCCGAUCCAUGAUCCAACAUAAUGGAUCGUGAUCCGAUCCAUAUCCAAAUAAUUUUAAAUUGAUGGAUCACUAUCCGGAUCGAUCCAUAUAAAAAAUAUAACAAAUAUCUCUAAAAAUAAAAAAAAAAUCACAAAAAAUCAAAAAAUUGUAAAAAUUCAAAAAAAAAUCAAAAAAAUUAAAAAACUAGUAGGCCCUUAAAGUUACUACAAAGAUGAUACUUUUUUGAGAUUAUUGGACUAUGAUCACUUAAAUGAUAUCAAGGAACCUGAUAUUUUUAUUGUCUCACCUGAUCAACCUUUUUGAUGUGAUCUGCAUACAUGGCUUCAUUAUUUGUAGCUGGACCUUUGACUUGUUUGACCACCUACUAACCGACUUAACUACACUAACUGACACUAGCUGACACUACCCAAAAUAUACACAUCACAUUUUUCCAUUCUCACAUUUAUUAUGCAAUUGUAUUCUGCAGUAGUAUUUUGCAUCAGUAGGUUUAAUUUAAAAUGCUAACCUAAUGCUAAAUUGCUAAUUACUAAUGAUAAUAAGUCAAGAGAAACUGCAAGCUCCAAGAUGUCCAGAACUAUUGUUUUCUAGCUAUGCUCAUACCAGCACAAGUAUAAUAAACAAAAGAAAAAACAAAUCAAAAGUGAGAAAUCAUCUUACGACUGUUGAAUAAGUCAAAUAGCGAUUACGAACAGAAACAAAACGAAACCGUAGAAAUUGAAAUUGAGAGAUUUAGAGUUCACCUGGCGAACUUUUGCUUGAUUUGUGUGUUUCAGUGAAUGAGUUGAAGUUUAUUCGUUGAUGAUUUGUGCGAUUGAAGAAAGAGAGAGAGAGAGAGAAUGUGUGAUGAGAGCGAGUACGGUUCAAGUAAGAUGGAUCGAAUGGGUAACUAAGAGGCCUGCCAUUCAAACGUGUCCAUUUAGUAAACCAAACAUUCUCUUAGUAUGGAUCGAUCCAUAUAAUUAAUUGGAUAAAAGGAUCGAUCCAUUGGACUAAUUAAUGGAUUAUUGGAUAUUUUGUAUGAUCCAAAAGCUUCGGUUGACAUACUUACAAAAUCGAGUUAACCCAACCGGGCAAAAUUAUAGUUGUUGGUGUGCUUUUUGUUGCUCGGUUGAAUCCAGUUGUUAGUAAGGGUCGUUUUGAUUAUGGAUUUAGCCUUAUUCUUUGUGCUGAUGUUGGACUUUGGUUGUGAGUAUUUUCUGAAUCUGUUAGAAUGAUGCUAUCCCAUACGAUUAACUGGCCCAUAACCAAGGCAAAACCAAUUAAUCAAAACUAACUAACCAGAAACUGAUGGGUUAAGGUCGUCCAAUAAUCGAACGUUUCGGUUUCGGUUUGGUCAGGUCCCAAAACCGAACCGGACGAAGUGGCGAAUCUGUAAUUUUUUCCUUAUGGGUUCACUAUUUUGGAUGGUCAAUUUUUCACAACCAUACGUUAGAAUUUUCGGGCCAGGUUGGGUAGCCGAACAUAAUAAACCUAAAUUUCUUAUCAAGAUUAAAAAAAAUCACUAAAGACCUAAAGUUCAUAUAAAAUAGGUAAAUUACAAGUUUUGUCCUUUAUCUUUAUACCACUUUUCAGGCGGUGUCCUUUUUAACGAAUGUUGACAGGCAGUGUCCUUUACUAGGUAUUUUGUUGCAAGUUUAGUCCUUUACACCCAACCCAGUUAAAAAACCCUGUUAAUUUUUUACAGGCGGUGUCCUUUACUAGGUAUUUUGUUACAAGUUUAGUCCUUCCUAUAAAAUAACCAUCCAAUAAAAACUACAAAUCACCAAGUAACGAAUUCAUAUCACAUUUCAUCAUUCCAGAAGCAAACCCUAAUUCGGAUCAUAUUCUCAAACAAACUCAAAAUCAACAUAUAAAAGUAAUUUAUUCAUAUCUGAUAUGGUUGGUCACUAAAAUUAAGUUUCAAUAAAUCAACACUGAUUCUAAAAACACAAAAUUCAUAUUCACACACUCAAACUUAUAAUCAUAUUUAUAAAUAAAUAAAUAAAAGAAAUUGAAAGUUCACCUCUCAAAGUCCCAAAAAUCAAAAUCAAAAUUGUGUUCUGUAUCUGACUUCUGAUGAAGUGAAAACAAAUAAACAAUUUCAUAAGUUUCAAACAAUUUCAAAGUUGAAAAAAAAUUCAAAUUAGUAGUUUACCUCUUUGCGGCGAUAUGGUUGGGCUGGGCUGGGAGGCGACCGACGAUGGUUGGGCGGCGUGCGGGCGGCCGACGGUGAGUGCCGAGGUGUUCGUGGGUUGUGUGGUAGCAAGUUUAUGAUAGGCUCUUUGAUAUUGGGCCGUUAAAUUCUUUAAUUGAAUCAGACUUAAACAGUGGCGAAGCUUGAAAAAAAUUUCUGGGGGUCGGAAGGCAUUAGACCUAAAAAAAAAAUUCUAUGUUCGGUUGGGCAACGGUGAUUCGAUUCGGGUCGGAUAGGGUGUCGGUGAUUCAAUUCGGGUCGGGUCAAACAUUAAUAUCAAAUUAAAAGCCGUUCUCAAACAUUAAAACGUAAACAUUGUUUAACAAACAAUUAAAUAAAUUGGAGCCCUAAAUCAAACCUAAACAUAAAAAUUAACAUACCUGAGGAUGAUUGAACAAGUGAACAAGAAGUCUCGAACAAGAAAUCUCGAACUUGAAGUCUCGAAGUCGAACAGUCAAACAAGCAGCAGGCCAGCACAGUCGCUUUCCCCCCAGCCCCCUGCGUUUUCUUCUGUUUCUUCUGUCUGCGCACGUAAUCCC
rnacentral:lncRNA from 1 species